AGAGAGCUAAAAAAGUGGAUUAGCUUAGCCCAUAAACACACAAAGAUGAGAAGUCUCCAGAUGCUUCACUUUUCCCUUUCUCAUAUUUAACUGCUCCCUUCUUCUUCAAUACAACUAGAAUCUUUCCUUUCAUAAAGGCCUAUUCACACACCUCUCCUUUUUUUUUUUUUUUUUUUGGGGUAAAAAAUAUGACCAAAUAAAGAGAAAAAAAAGGAAAAAUAACCAUAGUUUCUUGAGCUUUCUCAUUAAUUGUUGUGAUUUAAAUACCUUGUUCUUGUUCCUCUUCUUAUCUUGGGAAUUAAGUUUGUGUUGGAUAGAAGAUAUGAGUGAUCCCAAAUAUGCCUAUCCCUAUCCAGCUCCUCAAGGAGGGUAUUAUCAAGGGCCACCCGUGAUGGCGCCACCGCAAUACGCUGCCCCACCGCCCAGAAGACAACCGGGCUUCUUGGAGGGAUGCCUUGCAGCUCUUUGCUGCUGUUGUCUCCUUGAUGAGUGUUGCUGUGACCCUUCCAUUAUCUUUCUUACCUGAUAUAUGAGACUCCACAGCCUUUUGUAGCUGUAAAUUGGAUUUUUUACUUCAGUAGAUUCAAGUCUUACAUCCCUUUUCUUUUCUUUUCCUUUAUUUCCUUCUUUGUUAAUGGUUUGAUUUUGUGUAAACUUGGAAAGAAGAUUUAUUGGUGUCUAGAAUAAACCUGUGUUUUGUUGUAAAGUAUAGUAUUUACUCAUUUCAUAGUAAAUUUAUGGGUCGAUAUUUAACAAAUUUAGUCAAUAAAAUUUAGCUUGUGUGUUUA